UCAGAAAGAGGAAGAAUAUACCUCCCACCAUAUGGGCAGAAAGUAGAGUAGGCAUAAUCAACAAGAUACUGGUUUUGAGCCUAGGCCUGAAGAGGUAUUAUGUGUUGCCACUUGCCACUAUCAUGGCCAUGAGAAGAACAUACCUGAGUUAACCCACUGAUAAAAACAAAGUGCAAGAUUCAAGGAAAGGUCCAGGUUGGAUCCCAGCCAAGAUCAGCCCACCUCCAACCAAUCCAUGCACAGAAUACAGGUGUGAAGUUGAGCCUUUUGAACCAUGUGGAUGAAGGGAGCCUCUGGAGAUGGUGAAAGAACACUAUCCGAGAAGCCUGGAUACCUGAAUGACCUUGAGGAACACAAGCAUUGUUAUAACUGUGGUCCACUUGCCUCUUUACUGUUUUGUGAGCAAGAAAUAAACUCCUAUCUUAUUUGA